rfam:Oryza glaberrima chromosome 8 Oglab08_unplaced138_39, whole genome shotgun sequence.
UAAAGAGUAAAAGGUUCUGUUCUGUUUUUCAGACGAACAGUUCCCACGUUACUUUAGGAACAUUGAUGCACUGUCUUCUGGCGAACUGUUGUAUCUCAAUGACAAAUGGUUCAGAGACAGUGCGACAUCA